AUGGCGGCCACCUCCACCUCGGCCUCCCCCGCCCCCGCCGCCGACGACCUCCACGCCUUCCUCCGCCGCGGCCUCCGCUCCCGCGGCGCCGUGCUCCGCGCGCACGCCUUCCUCCUCCGCCGCGGCCUCCUCCUCGGCCACCCCGUCCCCUCGGGCCUCCUCCUCUCCGCCGCCGCCGCCUCCACCACCACCGCCACCUCCGCCACCCACCUCGUGCGCCUCCUCCUCCGCCACCUGCCCCCGCCGCUCCCGCUCUUCUCCCUCUCGGCCGCCCUCCGCGCCGUCGCCCCGCGCGUGCCCUUCUCCGCGCUGCUCUCCCUCUUCGCCCACCUCCUCCGCGCCCACGCCCCCUCCGGCUUCCCCGACGCCUUCGCCUUCCCGCCGCUGCUCUCCGUGGCCGCCUCCGCGCGCUCCCCGCGCAGCCACCUCCCCGCCGCGCUCGCGCUCCACGCGCAGCUGCUCCGACGCGGCCUGCUCUUCGCGCCGCCGCCCCACGCCGCCAACGCGCUCCUCCAUUUCUACGGCGCCGCCGGCAGCCUCCCCUCCGCGCGCCACCUGUUCGACGAAAUGCCCUUCAGGGACAUCGCGUCCCACAACACCAUGAUGACGGCCCACGCUGCUUCCCUGGGCGGUGGCAUUGAUGCCGCACGCCAGCUGUUCGACGGAAUGCUCCUCAGGAACGUGGUGUCCUGGAACGUCAUGAUCAAUGGGUAUGUGAAGGCGAAGCGGCCCGAGCAGGCGCUGGAGGUGGUGCGGUGGAUGGCGGGGGUCGGGGUCAGGGGCACCGCGACGACCAUGGUCGGGGCGGCCACCGCGUGCGCCAGGCUGGGGAGGCUGGGGUCUGGCAGGGAGGUGCAUUGUGCAUACUUGCGCCGCUUCGAGGAGGAUAACCUCUUGUUUUGGACUUCGCUGGUUGAUAUGUAUGGCAAGUGCCGGAGGGUGGCGGCUGCGAGGAAGGUGUUUGAUCGGCUCAAUGUCCGGAAUGUUGUUUGCUGGAAUGCAAUGAUCAUCGGGCAUUGCGUGUAUGGCGAACCUGCUGACGGGCUUCAGCUGUUCCAUGAGAUGAUUGGACGAGGGAAGAAUGGUUCAGAUAACCAAUGGGUUCUGCGACCAGAUGAAGUCACUUUCAUUGGUGUACUCUGCGCGUGUACCCGUUUAGGUCUCCUGGAUGCUGGGAAGGUAUAUUUCAACCAGAUGACCACGACGUACAGUCUCAGGCCAACAUUUGCACACUAUUGGUGCAUGGCGAAUCUGUAUGGGAGUGUUGGCCUUCUGGAAGAAGCAGAGAGCCUCUUGAAGAGCGUGCCAGAGGAGCUGAAGGCACGUGCAUUGGGUGGUUUGCUUGGGUUGUGCCGAUUCAGAGGGGAAUGGAAACUUGGGGAACGUAUAGCCCUCAGGUUGAUCGAGCUGGAACCAAGCAACUGUGCUCACUAUGCUCUGUUGUGCAGUGUAUAUGCUUCGGCGGGAAGAUGGGAAGAUGCUCACAGGGUGAAGGCUAUCAUAAAGGAAAGCGAUGGGAGGUUCAGUCCUGGACACCGUCUGGUGGAUCUAAAUGAGAUCGCAAGUGAAUUUAAAAUUAGGGAGAGGCAACCUGAGAAUCAGGAAAUAUAUGUUAUCCUGGAUGACUUGGUUUCAAAGCUGCAGUUUACAAGCAGAGAAGAUGUGCAAACUGAACCCGGGAUAAAAUAG
rnacentral:rRNA from 1 species